rnacentral:rRNA from 1 species
GUUGUUUUUCCGAAAAUCAAUUACGAAUGGCUUGAUUUUGUGUUGUAUUGACCUUAUCAGCUUUCUGCACUUUUUUCGAGUCUUUCUUAAUGCACUUUUCGGUUAACAAGUCAACAUCAAUUUCUUUUGUUGUAAAAGAGUAUUCGGAAGGUGGCUUUCUUUUCGGAGAAAGUGUUUAUAGCCCUAUACUUCUACAAUCGGAGAGAUUGAGGUCUGCAGCGUAGAUCCUUCGGGGUUAGAUACAUUUGUGCUAAGUUGUAGCUUUUCAUAGACAACUUGUUGACUAUGUUUAGUCAUGCGGCUUACUCGCUUAUGCUAUUUUACCUAC